GAUGAACGCUAGCGGCAGGCUUAACACAUGCAAGUCGAGGGGCAGCGCGAUGUAGCAAUACAUUGGCGGCGACCGGCGCACGGGUGCGUAACACGUAUGGAAUCUGCCCUGUACUGGAAGAUAACCCGGCGAAAGUCGGACUAAUAUCCCAUAAUAGCCGAGGUGGCAUCACCUUGGUUUGAAAGCUCCGGCGGUACAGGAUGACCAUGCGCACGAUUAGCUAGUUGGUGAGGUAACGGCUCACCAAGGCUACGAUCGUUAGGGGGCCUGAGAGGGUUAUCCCCCACACUGGUACUGAGACACGGACCAGACUCCUACGGGAGGCAGCAGUGAGGAAUAUUGCGCAAUGGAGGCAACUCUGACGCAGCCAUGCCGCGUGCAGGAAGAAGGCGCUACGCGUUGUAAACUGCUUUUAUCCGGGAAGAAACCCCAGGACGUGUCCUGGGUUGACGGUACCGGAGGAAUAAGCACCGGCUAACUUCGUGCCAGCAGCCG
rnacentral:rRNA from 1 species